AUUGAACGCUGGCGGCAGGCCUAACACAUGCAAGUCGAGCGGAUGAAGGGAGCUUGCUCCUAGAUUCAGCGGCGGACGGGUGAGUAAUGCCUAGGAAUCUGCCUGGUAGUGGGGGAUAACGUCCGGAAACGGGCGCUAAUACCGCAUACGUCCUGAGGGAGAAAGUGGGGGAUCUUCGGACCUCACGCUAUCAGAUGAGCCUAGGUCGGAUUAGCUAGUUGGUGGGGUAAAGGCCUACCAAGGCGACGAUCCGUAACUGGUCUGAGAGGAUGAUCAGUCACCCUGGAACUGAGACACGGUCCAGACUCCUACGGGAGGCAGCAGUGGGGAAUAUUGGACAAUGGGCGAAAGCCUGAUCCAGCCAUGCCGCGUGUGUGAAGAAGGUCUUCGGAUUGUAAAGCACUUUAAGUUGGGAGGAAGGGCAGUAAGUUAAUACCUUGCUGUUUUGACGUUACCAACAGAAUAAGCACCGGCUAACUUCGUG
rnacentral:rRNA from 1 species